rnacentral:rRNA from 1 species
UACGUAGGGGGCAAGCGUUAUCCGGAUUUACUGGGUGUAAAGGGAGCGUAGACGGCGAUGCAAGCCAGAUGUGAAAGCCCGGGGCUCAACCCCGGGACUGCAUUUGGAACUGUAUAGCUAGAGUGUCGGAGAGGCAGGCGGAAUUCCUAGUGUAGCGGUGAAAUGCGUAGAUAUUAGGAGGAACACCAGUGGCGAAGGCGGCCUGCUGGACGAUGACUGACGUUGAGGCUCGAAAGCGCGGGGAGCAAACAGG